rnacentral:tRNA from 1 species
CUUAAGGUCCAAAGAAUUGGUUGAUGGUUUCGGCCCAUUAGUUGAGGUUUGUCCUCCCUUAAGA